ensembl:snRNA U6 U6 spliceosomal RNA
AUGCUCCCUUUGGCAGCGCAUCUACUAACAUUAGAACAAUCCAGAGAUUAGCAAGGCCCCUUUGCAAGGAUGACAUGCAAAUUCAUGAAGGGUUCCCAUAUUUU